UACAGAGGCCCCGAGCGUUAAUCGGAAUUACUGGGCUUAAAGGGUGCGUAGGCGGACCAGAAAGUGCUUUGUGAAAGCCCCCGGCUCAACCGGGGAACUGCGUCUGAUACUGGAUGGCUUGAGGUUGGGAGAGGGAUGCGGAAUUCCAGGUGUAGCGGUGAAAUGCGUAGAUAUCUGGAGGAACACCGGUGGCGAAGGCGGCAUCCUGGACCAAUUCUGACGCUGAGGAGCGAAAGCCAGGGGAGCAAACGGG
rnacentral:rRNA from 1 species